rnacentral:rRNA from 1 species
GACGAACGCUGGCGGCGUGCUUAACACAUGCAAGUCGAACGGAAAGGCCCUGCUUUUGUGGGGUGCUCGAGUGGCGAACGGGUGAGUAACACGCGAGUAACCUGCCCUUGACUUUGGGAUAACUUCAGGAAACUGGGGCUAAUACCGGAUAGGAGCUCCUGCUGCACGGUGGGGGUUGGAAAGUUUCGGCGGUUGGGGAUGGAAUCGCGGCUUAUCAGCUGGUUGGUGGGGUAGUGGCUUACCAAGGCUUUGACGGGUAGCCGGCCUGAGAGGGUGACCGGCCACAUUGGUACUGAGAGACGGCCCAGACUCCUACGUGAGGCAGCAGUGGGGAAUAUUGCACAGUGGGCGGAAGCCUGAUGCAGCAACGCCGCGUGCGUGAUGCCGUCCUUCGGGUUGUAAACCGCUUUCGCCUGUGACGAAGCGUGAGUGACGGUAAUGGGUAAAGAAGCACCGGCUAACUACGUG